rnacentral:rRNA from 1 species
UACGGAGGGUGCGAGCGUUGUCCGGAAUCAUUGGGCGUAAAGGGCGCGUAGGUGGCCCCUCAAGCGUGCGGUGAAAGUCAGGGGCUCAACCCCUGAUCGGCCGUGCGAACUGGGGAGCUUGAGCACUGUAGGAGGCAGGCGGAAUUCCGGGUGGUAGCGGUGGGAAUGCGUAGAGAAUCCGGGAAGAACACCGGUGGCGAA